UCAGUGCAGAUAGUAUCAUGCUGGUGUUGAGCACACACUCUAAAGGGUAUAGCCAAGUGCUUUUUGAUAGACUUUUGUUUCCUCAAGCUCUUCUGUACUAAUUAUGCAGCUCCAAUUGUACUGCUGAAAACAACUGGACUCAACAUUAGACUGUGAAGCAACAUCAAGACCUUUUUUUUUUGCCUUCACUGCCUGACCAAGUUACUGGUGCAGGUAAUCGGGUUGGAAAUAUCACAUAGGCUGAACAUAGACAACAGAAUAAGUAUUUACAUGACAUCAAGUUCAUGUUGAUGAUGGGCAUUUCUUGAGGAACUAAGUCUUUCCAUCUAAAUGCGUUUUAAGUGUUAAUUUUUUUGAGACUUCAAGUCUUCACAAGGGACCUCUUCUGGUCAAAAGAAAUUCUUCCUUUGGGAAAGAGGCUAAAAAUGCUGUUGAACUGCAGGAAAAAGAUUUGGAUAUUGGCAUCAUGGGAUGAUCGUGAGGAUGAUGGAUGUGUAUAAAGCAACCAGAACGUUCUUGAAGGGAAUGGAGGACCUGGAAAUGUGACAUAAAUUUACAAAGAGUGACUGGUGGGACAGCUGCUGUCAUAGACCCAAUUCAGUCAACUGUGUGUGUCAUAGACCCAAUUCAGUCGUGUGUGUGUCCCAUUAAAAGGUGGUCAUGUGUAUUACAAUUUUUGCAUUUCCACAAUACACUUUGAAUAAAAGCACAUGCAUAUGACUUGAA